AUGGUCAAAGCUGGUUACAUAGUUAAAAUAUUGAUAGCAGAUUGGUUUGCCCAACGGAACCAUAGGAUUUGCAGCAAUAAAUAUGUAAUAAGGAAAAUUGGCUGCUACAAUAUUGAGAUGUGGAAAGCAGCUGGCAUGGAUCUUGACAGAGUAGAGCUUGUAUGGUUCUCAGAUGUGUUGGAAAGGCAUGCAUCUGAUUACUGGCCACUUGCCCUGGAUGUCUCCAGAAAAUGCACUCUAAAAAGAAUGGCAAGCUGUUGCACGGAAACAGCCCCAUAUGACCCGCGACUGCCUGCUGCUGUGAUAUUUUACCCAUGCAUGCAAGUUGCUGCUAUAUUAUGUCCGAAGUUGCAGGCGGAUAUAUGGCUCUUCAGCAUGGAUCAGCAAGAAAUUGUCAUGCUAACCAGAGAGUAUUGUGAAGACAUAAAAAGCGAAAGCAAACCAACUAUUAUGUUGCACAAUACACUACCUAAUUUAGUAGAUAAUCCUUAUAUUGUACUAAAGGACCCUUAUAACAUGAGGGAACCAAAAUGGAACAUCUUCAUGCACGAUAAGGAGUGCGCUUUGAAUGGAAAAAUAAGCAGGGCUGUCUGUCCUCCAAAAGUAGCAGUAUGCAACCCAUGUUUGGAGUACAUCAAAUAUGUUAUGUUCCCUUGGUUUGGGAAGUUUGAGGUAGCGCAGAAGGAACAGAGUGGUGUUAACAAGUCAUUUGAAUGCAUGGAAGAUCUUAUUGUUGAUUAUGAAAGUGGCGAUCUUGAUCCUCUCAACGUUAAGUUGGCUUUUGAAAAAGGAAUAUGCAAAAUAUUAGAGCAUGUUGGUACCUGCCUGAACAGCAAUGCCGAAGCCCAAGCUCUAAUUAUUGACCUUAUGGGUCAUAUCAGGCGAAUAGAGUCCGUAGAUAUCCAUGAGUUUCACUGGUAG
rnacentral:rRNA from 1 species